rnacentral:tRNA from 1 species
GCGGGGUUAGCCCAGCCUGGCAAGGCGCAGGAUUGCUAAUCCUGUGGUGUUCUCACCUCGGGGGUUCAAAUCCCCCACCCCGCGCCA